rnacentral:misc_RNA from 1 species
GAUGAAGAACGUAGCGAAAUGCGAUAAGUAAUGUGAAUUGCAGAAUUCAGUGAAUCAUCGAAUCUUUGAACGCACAUUGCGCCCGCCAGUAUUCUGGCGGGCAUGCCUGUUCGAGCGUCAUUUCAACCAUCAAGCCCCAGGCUUGUGUUGGGGACCUGCGGCUGCCGCAGGCCCUGAAAACCAGUGGCGGGCUCGCUGUCACACCGGUCGUAGUAGAUUUUAUCUCGCUCAGGGCGUGCUGCGGGUUCCGGCCGUUAAAAAGCCUUUUUUACCCAAGGUUGACCUCGGAUCAGGUAGGAAGACCCGCUGAACUUAAGCAUAUCAAUAAGCGGAGGA